UCGAUAGUACUAGAAACUCUAUGGAGUGGAUAGAUAAUGCCAUUAGUCAUACUUCCAAGAAAAGCUGCUAAACUAUAGAUUACAGGAACCCGUAACCGUAAACCGACACAGGUGGUCGAGGAGAGUAUCCUAAGGUGCACGAGAGAAUCAUGGCUAAGGAACUAGGCAAAAUGGGCGCGUAACUUCGGGAGAAGCGUCGCUCGGUAGUAAAAACUGAGCCGCAGUGAAGAGGCCCAGGCGACUGUUUAGACAAAAACACAGGACUCUGCGAAGCUGGAAAGGACAAAGUAGUAGGGUCUGACACCUGCCCGGUGCCGGAAGGUUAAGGAAGGGGGUUAGCUUCGGCGAAGCUCUUAACUGAAGCCCCGGUAAACGGCGGCCGUAACAAUAACGGUCCUAAGGUAGCGAAAUUCCUUGUCGGGUAAGUUCCGACCUGCACGAAUGGCGUAACGAUGGCCAAGCUGUCUCCACCCGAGACUCAGUGAAAUUGAAAUCGCUGUUAAGAUGCAGUGUAUCCGCGGCUAGACGGAAAGACCCCGUGAACCUUUACUAUAGCUUCACAGUGGAUCUUGAUGUUGCUUGUGUAGGAUAGGUGGGAGGCUUUGAAACGUGGACGCCAGUCUGCGUGGAGCCGACCUUGAAAUACCACCCUGGCAACAUUGAGGUUCUAACCCAGGUCCCUUACCGGGACCGGGGACAUUGUGUGGUGGGUAGUUUGACUGGGGCGGUCUCCUCCCAAAGAGUAACGGAGGAGCACGAAGGUGCGCUAAGUACGGUCGGACAUCGUACGGUUAGUGUAAAGGCACAAGCGCGCUUGACUGCGAGACGUACAUGUCGAGCAGGUACGAAAGUAGGUCUUAGUGAUCCGGUGGUUCUGUAUGGAAGGGCCAUCGCUCAACGGAUAAAAGGUACUCCGGGGAUAACAGGCUGAUACCGCCCAAGAGUUCACAUCGACGGCGGUGUUUGGCACCUCGAUGUCGGCUCAUCACAUCCUGGGGCUGAAGCCGGUCCCAAGGGUAUGGCUGUUCGCCAUUUAAAGUGGUCAAGCCUCACGGGCAAUUAGUACUGGUUAGCUUAACGCCUCACAACGCUUCCACACCCAGCCUAUCAACGUCUUAGUCUUAAACGGCCCUUUAGGGGACUCAAGGUCCCAGUGAGAUCUCAUCUUGAAGGAGGCUUCCCGCUUAGAUGCUUUCAGCGGUUAUCCCGUCCGAACGUAGCUACCCGGCAAUGCAAUUGGCAUCACAACCGGUACACCAGAGGUUCGUUCACUCCGGUCCUCUCGUACUAGGAGCAACUCUUCUCAAAUCUCAAACGCCCACGGCAGAUAGGGACCGAACUGUCUCACGACGUUCUAAACCCAGCUCACGUACCGCUUUAAUUGGCGAA
rnacentral:rRNA from 1 species